UACGUAGGUGGCAAGCGUUGUCCGGAUUUACUGGGCGUAAAGGAUGCGUAGGCGGAUACUUAAGUCAGAUGUGAAAAUCCCGGGCUUAACUUGGGAACUGCAUUUGAAACUGGGUAUCUAGAGUGCGGGAGAGGAAAGUGGAAUUCCUAGUGUAGCGGUGAAAUGCGUAGAGAUUAGGAAGAACACCAGUGGCGAAGGCGACUUUCUGGAUCGUAACUGACGCUGAGGCAUGAAAGCGUGGGGAGCAAACAGG
rnacentral:rRNA from 1 species